rnacentral:tRNA from 1 species
UAGAUUGAAGCCCGCUGGUUUGGGUUUUUAGUUGUUAACUAAAGGUUUACGGGGUCAAGGCCCGUCGAUCUAGA